GAAAAACUUGACGCCUGAAAAUUCAGUGCAUUAUUUUUUCUGGCACGGUGUCACGUCCAUCGAAAAUCAAAGUGGAUGUCUUCAAGCAGUUUUGCGCUUUAGUGACUAUUGAAGAUCCAGAAAUAAAGAAACCGGUCCAAACAGACACUUUCUUUGAACUUAUUUUGUCCUGUUUAGUGCCCCGACUCUAGAUCCGUCGCCCAACAAGUAAUGUCUUCAAGGUGUCGUUUUGAAUUUCGAUAUCCAGGGGAACUCUGAACCCACGCAUGUGAGCAUCGACGAGACCUCAGUGCCAUAACCAAAUUAUUCUAGGGUAGUCAAGAUCUGUCGAUUACACCCAAAAUUCAAGGUAAAACAUGAGCCAAUGGUACGUCAAAACCUGCUGUCGAUUUAGAGGCACCACUGAUAACGGCACUGGAGUCGUCAAAUGACCGCAUCUUCCGACCGAAAAAGACCAUUCACAUAAACCAUUACUGAUCUACCACCUUCAGAGGAGCUAAAGGAGGACGUGGUGCCGUCGUCGGAUGCAGAGUGGCCUCUUCGUUGAAUGGAAGGUCAGAAGAAAUUCAAACGUCCACCUCAAGAAGAGUCCUUGAAGAGUUGUGUAUAAUAAUGAGCUUAGC